rnacentral:misc_RNA from 1 species
CGCAUAUUGCGCCCCUUGGUAUUCUAUAGGGCAUGCCUGUUCGAGCGUUAUUUAUACCCUCAAGUACUGCUUGGUAUUAGGCGUUUGUUCCGCUAUACGCGCGAACUCGCCUCAAAUGUAUUAGCAGCCGGCCGUCCCGCGUAGGAGCGUAGCAUAGGAUACGCGCCCGGCGGCGCACGGCGGCGUCUACCCGCCCUUUCACGCUUGACCUCAGAUCAGGUAGGGAUACCCGCUGAACUUAA